GACGAACGCUGGCGGCGUGCCUAAUACAUGCAAGUUGAGCGAUGAAGCUUGGUGCUUGCACCAAUUUGAAGAGCAGCGAACGGGUGAGUAACGCGUGGGGAAUCUGCCUUUGAGCGGGGGACAACAUUUGGAAACGAAUGCUAAUACCGCAUAACAACUUUAAACAUAAGUUUUAAGUUUGAAAGAUGCAAUUGCAUCACUCAAAGAUGAUCCCGCGUUGUAUUAGCUAGUUGGUGAGGUAAAGGCUCACCAAGGCGAUGAUACAUAGCCGACCUGAGAGGGUGAUCGGCCACAUUGGGACUGAGACACGGCCCAAACUCCUACGGGAGGCAGCAGUAGGGAAUCUUCGGCAAUGGACGAAAGUCUGACCGAGCAACGCCGCGUGAGUGAAGAAGGUUGUCGGAUCGUAAAACUCGGUUGGUAGAGAAGAACGUUGGUGAGAGUGGAAAGCUCAUCAAGUGACGGUAACUACCCAGAAAGGGACGGCUAACUACGUG
rnacentral:rRNA from 1 species